rnacentral:rRNA from 1 species
UGAGGGAUAUUGCGCAAUGGGGGAAACCCUGACGCAGCAACGCCGCGUGAGUGAGGAAGGUUUUCGGAUCGUAAAGCUCUGUCGGGUGGGAAGAAAUGUAUGGAGGUUAAUAGCCUUUGUACUUGACGGUACCGCCAAAGGAAGCACCGGCUAACUCCGUGCCAGCAGCCGCGGUAAUACGGGGGGUGCAAGCGUUGUUCGGAAUCAUUGGGCGUAAAGAGCGUGUAGGCGGCUGAGCAAGUCAGAUGUGAAAUCCCUGGGCUUAACCCAGGAAGUGCAUUUGAAACUGUUCAGCUUGAGUAAGGAAGAGGGAAGUGGAAUUCCUGGUGUAGAGGUGAAAUUCGUAGAUAUCAGGAGGAACACCGGUGGCGAAGGCGACUUCCUGGUCCUAUACUGACGCUGAGACGCGAGAGCGUGGGGAGCAAACAG